rnacentral:sRNA from 1 species
UAGAAUACCGCACUGGGAAGGAUGGAGAAGCUUCGAUUGAAGGUUCGAGCCGAGCGAAGCGAGACAGCGUUGCGCAGCAACGACCCGGAGGGCGAGGCCAGCGGCCGAGUAAUCCUUCCCCCACCACCA